GACGAACGCUGGCGGCGUGCCUAAUACAUGCAAGUAGAACGCUGAAGGAGGAGCUUGCUUCUCUGGAUGAGUUGCGAACGGGUGAGUAACGCGUAGGUAACCUGCCUGGUAGCGGGGGAUAACUACUGGAAACGAUAGCUAAUACCGCAUAAUAGUAGAUGUUGCAUGACAUUUGCUUAAAAGGUGCAAUUGCAUCACUACCAGAUGGACCUGCGGUGUAUUAGCUAGUUGGUGAGGUAACGGCUCACCAAGGCGACGAUACAUAGCCGGACGGAGAGGGGGAUCGGCCACACUGGGACUGUGACACGGCCCAGACUGCUACGGGAGGCAGCAGUAGGGAAUCUUGGGGAAGAGGCGGAAGUCUGACCGAGCAACGCCGCGUGAGUGAAGAAGGUUGUCGGAUCGUAAAGCUCUGUUGUAAGAGAAGAACGAGUGUGAGAGUGGAAAGUUCACACUGUGACGGUAUCUUACCAGAAAGGGACGGCUAACUACGUG
rnacentral:rRNA from 1 species